UACGGAGGGUGCGAGCGUUGUCCGGAAUCACUGGGCGUAAAGCGCACGUAGGCGGAUAUGUCAGUCAGGGGUGAAAUCCCGGGGCUCAACCUCGGAACUGCCCUUGAUACAGCAUAUCUUGAGUCCGAUAGAGGUGGGUGGAAUUCCUAGUGUAGAGGUGAAAUUCGUAGAUAUUAGGAAGAACACCGGUGGCGAAGGCGGCCCACUGGAUCGGUACUGACGCUGAGGUGCGAAAGCGUGGGGAGCAAACAGG
rnacentral:rRNA from 1 species